AAAGAGAAAAGAGGACACUGAGCGAAACAGGGCGACACUCUCCUCACAAUAGUUGUGUUUUUGGUCAGUAAGCGGAUAUUUUGUGACAGCACGCAGCCGAGCCGAUGUUGGCCAUUGUUCUAAACAGGACGGUAUGUGAGCUGAGAGAGGAUGAGCUGAGUCCUGAUGAUCCAGAGGUUGAAUCAGCAGCAGCUUGUGUGUAGAGAGACUCUGACUGGACCAUGUUACUGGGAGGUGGAGUCAAGAGGAGAGCUUCAUCCACAUGUUUCUCCAUGUCAGACCAGUGGUGUAGUCUAUGUGAUACGCAGCGUUCACUUUUGGACCAUGGGGGCUUCCGUCAAGCGUGACGUGGACCCGACGUUAAACUACUAAGGAAGCAGUGAAGUUGUGCGGCGGCAACGAGUCGACAACUUGAACUGGUCCAACGCUCGUCAGUGGAGAAGGAAUGUGGAGAAAAAAACAAUGAGAAGAAAGAAAAGGAAGCCCAGUAAACACUAUUUGAGAUGGUAGGGAAGGAGAGCUGAUGACGCUGUCGUCCUACCUGGUUGUGUAUCUGCACUGCAACAAAAUCCACUGGCGUCCUCACAGAGGAAAGGGCGUCUACAUCUGAGGAGUGGGUGUCCUUUAAAAUCCAGUCCUCAGACACAAACCACAAACAGCUCUAGGUCCUUUUUCUUUAUUUGAAACUUAUUUGUCUUGUCACUGUCUGUUCAGUGGUUAAUUAAAGUCCAGCUGUUCAUGUCUGUUAUA